rnacentral:rRNA from 1 species
UAGAGUUUUGUUCAUGGCUCAGAACGAACGCUGGCGGCGUGCCUAACACAUGCAAGUCGAGCGCGAAUGGGGCAACCCUAGUAGAGCGGCGCACGGGUGCGUAACACGUGGAUAAUCUGCCUGGAUGCCUGGGAUAACCAGUCGAAAGAUUGGCUAAUACCGGAUAAGCCCACGGUCUCUUCGGAGGCUGAGGGAAAAGGUGGCCUCUGUAUACAAGCUAUCACAACCAGAUGAGUCCGCGGCCCAUCAGCUAGUUGGCGGGGUAAUGGCCCACCAAGGCAACGACGGGUAGCUGGUCUGAGAGGACGAUCAGCCACACUGGAACUGAGACACGGUCCAGACUCCUACGGGAGGCAGCAGUGGGGAAUUUUGCGCAAUGGGCGAAAGCCUGACGCAGCAACGCCGCGUGUGUGAUGAAGGUCUUUGGAUUGUAAAGCACUUUCGACCGGGACGAAAACCCGAAGCCCAAUACGCUUCGGCUUGACGGUACCGGGAGAAGAAGCACCGGCUAACUCUGUGCCAGCAGCCGCGGUAAUACAGAGGGUGCAAGCGUUGUUCGGAAUUAUUGGGCGUAAAGCGCGCGUAGGCGGCUUUGCAAGUCGGGUGUGAAAGCCCUCAGCUCAACUGAGGAAGUGCGCCCGAAACUGCAGAGCUUGAGUGCCGGAGAGGGUGGCGGAAUUCCCCAAGUAGAGGUGAAAUUCGUAGAUAUGGGGAGGAACACCGGUGGCGAAGGCGGCCACCUGGACGGUCACUGACGCUGAGGCGCGAAAGCGUGGGUAGCAAACAGGAUUAGAUACCCUGGUAGUCCACGCCGUAAACGAUGAGAACUAGGUGUCGUGGGAGUUGACCCCCGCGGUGCCGUAGCUAACGCAUUAAGUUCUCCCGCCUGGGAAGUACGGUCGCAAGACUAAAACUCAAAGAAUUUGACGGGGGCCCGCACAAGCGGUGGAGCAUGUGGUUUAUUUCGACGCAACGCGCAGAACCUUACCUGGUCUUGACAUCCUCGAAAUCCUUCAGAGAUGAGGGAUUGCCCGCAAGGGAAUCGAGAGACAGGUGCUGCAUGGCUGUCGUCAGCUUCGUGUC